UGGGGAAUAUUGCACAAUGGGCGCAAGCCUGAUGCAGCCACGCCGCGUGUAUGAAGAAGGCUUUCGGGUUGUAAAGUAUUUUCAGUCGGGAGGAAGGUGGUAAGGUUAAUAACCUUAUCAAUUGACGUUACCGACAGAAGAAGCACCGGCUAACUCCGUGCCAGCAGCCGCGGUAAUACGGAGGGUGCAAGCGUUAAUCGGAAUUACUGGGCGUAAAGCGCACGCAGGCGGUCUGUCAAGUCGGAUGUGAAAUCCCCGGGCUCAACCUGGGAACUGCAUUCGAAACUGGCAGGCUAGAGUCUUGUAGAGGGGGGUAGAAUUCCGGGUGUGGCGGUGAAAUGCGUAGAGAUCUGGAGGAAUACCGGUGGCGAAGGCGGCCCCCUGGACAGAGACUGACGCUCAGGUGCGAAAGAGUGGGGAGCAAACAGG
rnacentral:rRNA from 1 species